rnacentral:rRNA from 1 species
AAUGAACGCUGGCGGCAUGCCUUACACAUGCAAGUCGAACGGCAGCAUGACCUAGCUGGCUAGGUUGAUGGCGAGUGGCGGACGGGUGAGUCGUGCAUCACCACGUGCCUUUUAGUGGGGGAUAACGUAGCGCAAGUUACGCUACUACCUCAUAUUCUCUGAGGCGGAAAGCAGGGGACCUUCGUGCCUUGCGCUAGAAUAGCGGCCGAUGUCGGAUUCGCUAGUUGGUGGGGUAAAGGCUCACCAAGUCAACGAGCCGUCGCGGGUCUGAGAGGAUGAUACGCCACACGAGGACUGAGACACGGCCCAGACUCCUACGGGAGGCAGCAGUGGGGAAUGUUGGACAGUGGGCGCGAGCCUGAUCCAGCCAGGCCGCGUGAGUGAAGAAGGCCUUCGGGUUGUAAAGCUCUUUCGGCUGGGAAGAAAUCGCACCCUCUAAGACGGGGUGUGGAUGACGGUACCAGCAGAAGAAGCACCGGCUAACUACGUG